GUAUAAGCAAUUAUACAGCGAAACUGCGAAUGGCUCAUUAAAUCAGUUAUCGUUUAUUUGAUAGUACCUUACUACAUGGAUAACCGUGGUAAUUCUAGAGCUAAUACAUGCUAAAAAUCCCGACUUCGGAAGGGAUGUAUUUAUUAGAUUAAAAACCAAUGCCCUUCGGGGCUCUCUGGUGAUUCAUAAUAACUUCUCGAAUCGCACGGCCUUGCGCCGGCGAUGGUUCAUUCAAAUUUCUGCCCUAUCAACUUUCGACGGCUGGGUCUUGGCCAGCCGUGGUGACAACGGGUAACGGAGGGUUAGGGCUCGACCCCGGAGAAGGAGCCUGAGAAACGGCUACUACAUCCAAGGAAGGCAGCAGGCGCGCAAAUUACCCAAUCCCGACACGGGGAGGUAGUGACAAUAAAUACUGAUACAGGGCUCUUUCGGGUCUUGUAAUUGGAAUGAGUACAAUUUAAAUCCCUUAACGAGGAACAAUUGGAGGGCAAGUCUGGGC
rnacentral:rRNA from 1 species